rnacentral:rRNA from 1 species
CCUACGGGUGGCAGCAGUAGGGAAUCUUCCACAAUGGGCGCAAGCCUGAUGGAGCAACACCGCGUGAGUGAAGAAGGGUUUCGGCUCGUAAAGCUCUGUUGUUGGAGAAGAACGUGCGUGAGAGUAACUGUUCACGCAGUGACGGUAUCCAACCAGAAAGUCACGGCUAACUACGUGCCAGCAGCCGCGGUAAUACGUAGGUGGCAAGCGUUAUCCGGGUUUAUUGGGCGUAAAGCGAGAGCAGGCGGUUGCUUAGGUCUGAGGGGAAAGCCUUCGGGUUAACCGAAGAAGGGCAUCGGAAACCGGUCAACUUGAGUGCAGAAGAGGACAGUGGAACUCCAUGUGUAGCGGUGGAAUGCGUAGAUAUAUGGAAGAACACCAGUGGCGAAGGCGGCUGUCUGGUCUGCAACUGACGCUGAGGCUCGAAAGCAUGGGUAGCGAACAGGAUUAGAUACCCUUGUAGUC